rnacentral:rRNA from 1 species
AUUGAACGCUGGCGGCAGGCCUAACACAUGCAAGUCGAACGAGUGGCGGACGGGUGAGUAAUGUCUGGGAAACUGCCCGAUGGAGGGGGAUAACUCCUGGAAACGGUAGCUAAUACCGCAUACCAUCGGAUGUGCCCAUAUGGGAUUAGAUAGUAGGUGGGGUAACGGCUCACCUAGGCGACGAUCCCUAGCUGGUCUGGGAGGAGGACAAGCUACACUGAAAAUGGGACACGGUCCAGACUCAUACGGGAGGCAGCAGUGGGGAAUAUUGAACAAUGGGCGCAAGCCUGAUGCAGCCAUGCCGCGUGUAUGAAGAAGGCCUUCGGGUUGUAAAGUACUUUCAGCGAGGAGGCGUUACUCGCAGAAGAAGAACCGGCUAACUCCGUGCCAGCAGCCGCGGUAAUAC